UUACACGUCCUCAUUCGUCCAAACUACAACCACCAAUAACCACCACAACUACCAACAACCACAGCACUCGCCGAUAUGCAUCCUUUCCCGGACGUCACGCCUCUUGUACAAAAACCCCAACAGGGGAUCUUUUUGUAACAGCCAUAGAAAACCAUCCGUACGUACGUACGUACGUCCAUAAGUGUUGCCGUACCUAUAUGUCGCUAUCGGAGCCAGGCCAGGUCAUCGCCAGCCCCCUCACUCAGGUUGAGUAAUGACAUGCACGACAUGGUAAUGACAUACAUACAUACAGCACAACAUCUUCAGGCGACAUUUGGGGUCCGCUAGGUCCACAAGCGGCCCAAGGUGUGGCGCCCUGCCGUGAUGCGACCAAAAUGCAGCCAGGAGUUAAUUCAAUGCUUCCGGAGGGCCACUGCUCCAGUUGACUUGAACUGAACUGAACUGAAUUCAGCUCAUGCAGACAAAAUUAAUAACGGCAAUAAUGAAGACAACGAACAACUGAAAGGUUUUGAAGGGCGAAAAUUAUGCGGCGCACUAAUUCGCCUGCCGCGAAAAACACAACCAUCACCACAACAACAAUGAAUAUUUUCUGUGGUUUACAAAAGCAACUAUGAAACAAAAUCAAACAAGCUCACCCUCACUCACCCCUAGGCCCUCAGCCCUCACCUCACCUCUACACAGCACAUCCCGCUCCCACUCCCACUCCCAUAUCCACACCCACUCCCACACACCUCACCUCACCGCCAGAACCAACAUCCACAUCAGUCGACACCGCACGGGGUGCUCUGCUCUGUACGGGCCCCCACCUGUUCAACUCCCCACUCGCCCUCCCGCACCU
rnacentral:lncRNA from 1 species